AACACAUGCAAGUCGAGGGGAAACGAUAUUGGAAGCUUGCUUCCGAUAGGCGUCGACCGGCGCACGGGUGAGUAACGCGUAUCCAACCUGCCCAUCACUUGGGAAUAACCUUGCGAAAGUAAGACUAAUGCCCAAUGACAUUUAUAGAAGGCAUCGGAAAUGAAUUAAAGAUUUAUCGGUGAUGGAUGGGGAUGCGUCUGAUUAGCUUGUUGGCGGGGUAACGGCCCACCAAGGCGACGAUCAGUAGGGGUUCUGAGAGGAAGGUCCCCCACAUUGGAACUGAGACACGGUCCAAACUCCUACGGGAGGCAGCAGUGAGGAAUAUUGGUCAAUGGGCGAGAGCCUGAACCAGCCAAGUAGCGUGCAGGAUGACGGCCCUAUGGGUUGUAAACUGCUUUUAUAGGGGAAUAAAGUGAGCCACGUGUGGUUUUUUGCAUGUACCCUAUGAAUAAGGACCGGCUAAUUCCGUGCCAGCAGCCGCGGUAAUACGGAAGGUCCGGGCGUUAUCCGGAUUUAUUGGGUUUAAAGGGAGCGUAGGCCGGAGAUUAAGCGUGUUGUGAAAUGUAGAUGCUCAACAUCUGAACUGCAGCGCGAACUGGUCUCCUUGAGUACGCAUAAAGUGGGCGGAAUUCGUGGUGUAGCGGUGAAAUGCUUAGAUAUCACGAAGAACUCCGAUUGCGAAGGCAGCUCACUGGGGCGCAACUGACGCUGAAGCUCGAAAGCGCGGGUAUCGAACAGGAUUAGAUACCCUGGUAAUCCGCGCGGUAAACGAUGGAUGCCCGCUGUUGGGCCAACUGGUUCAGCGGCCAAGCGAAAGCAUUAAGCAUCCCACCUGGGGAGUACGCCGGCAA
rnacentral:rRNA from 1 species